AUGACUAGGGAUAACCUUAGGAAGAGACACAUCAUCAAACCCCUUGAUUGUGUUUACUGCUUGGAACAAGAGUCUUGUUCUCACCUAUUUUUUGAAUGUAUAGUUGCUAAACAUCUCUGGGCCCACAUUAAGGAAUAUUUCUCUAGUCAGAUUGGCUCAUCCUUCGAAUCUGUCGCCAGAUUCUAGAUUGCUACCAAAAAGUGCUCAGUUUUAAAAACUGUUAGCUCAGCUGUCCUUUGGUGCCUCUGGAAAUAUAGGAAUGCUAUGAUUUUCAGUAACACCUCCUGGAUUUCCAUUCCGCGGGUCUUGAGGUUGAUCAGGAACAUGGUGAGGAACUGGGUGAUUCUCUCCUCUGGAUUGGACAAGGACAAGUUGAUGAGCUUCGUGGAAACCCUAACAAGAUCCCUCCAGAAACCGUUGGCGAUCACUUGUGGCCGAACAAGGCUCGACCUUCUCUGGGGCUGGACCCGUGGGCUCGUCUCAAGAUCUCUGAUGAAGAUGAUGGGCACCUGGCGCCGAAAACGAGGGACAUCCACCAUGCUACGCCUUCCAGCCCGGUGUCUCCGCUUGCUUACUGGUCACCGCAGGCUGACACGGCCCCUCGGCUGA
rnacentral:rRNA from 1 species